UUGGGUGAUUUUAAUGAAAUCCUAUAUUCCCAUCAGAAAUAAGGCAGAAAUGCAAGACUAAAUGCAAUGAUGAGAGAAUUUCAUAAUUGUUUGGGUGAUUGUGGCCUGGAAGAUCUGGGAUAUAUUGGGGAUCCUAUCACUUGGAGGAGAGGAGCAAUCAGGGAGAGACUUGGCCGUGUCGUAUGUAAUGUGGAAUGGGCAAACAAAUUUCCUCGUGAUGCCAUCCUAAAUGAAGAACAUGUACAUUUUGAUCAUUGUCCUCUAAUCCUGGACACAAAAUGUUUUCAUGGUAAUAUGUUUAACUGA
rnacentral:rRNA from 1 species